rnacentral:piRNA from 1 species
AAAGACAUCAUGCUGAAUAGA